rnacentral:lncRNA from 1 species
UCCGCACUGACCGGAGGCGGCUCCGGCGGGGACCCUCCGACGGUCAAGUCAGAGAGGAGACUAGGCAACAGUGAGAAGAAAGCAAAGAACUCAACGAGAGAGAGAGGGCAAGCCUGCGAGUUUUUCCCCGAGCCUCUGGCACUGUAGCCUUCUCCGAUAUAUAUAGUGGAGCGUAGUAUGGCGCCGUCAUUAAUGGCGCAGACAAUUGAGGAAUUGUCAACUCACUGUAGACUGUCAGAGUCGCCGUGAAAGUGU